rnacentral:rRNA from 1 species
AGCAGCCGCGGUAAUUCCAGCUCCAAUAGCGUAUAUUAAAGUUGUUGCAGUUAAAAAGCUCGUAGUUGAAUUUCGGAAUCAAUAGAUUGGUCGUGCCUUGGUACGUACUGAUAUUAUUGGUUUCUACCUUCUGAAGAACCUCGAUGUCAUUAAUUUGGUGUCUUGGGGAAUCAGGACUGUUACUUUGAAAAAUUAGAGUGUUUAAAGCAGGCUCGCGCUUGAAUACAUUAGCAUGGAAUAAUGAAAUAGGACGUUUGAUUCUAUUUUGUUGGUUUCUAGGAUCGACGUAAUGAUUAAUAGGGAUAGUUGGGGGCAUUAGUAUUCAAUUGUCAGAGGUGAAAUUCUUGGAUUUAUUGAAGACUAACUACUGCGAAAGCAUUUGCCAAGGAUGUUUUCAUUAAUCAAGAACGAAAGUUAGGGGAUCGAAGACGAUCAGAUACCGUCGUAGUCUUAACCAUAAACUAUGCCGACUAGGGAUCGGAUGAUGUUAAUUUUUAAUGUACUCAUUCGGCGCCUUACG